CGAAGCGAAGCAGUGAUGUGAAGCAAAUCGCACCAAAGCCAGUCCCAGUUCGGAUAAGAGGCUGAAACUCGCCUCUUUGAAGUCGGAAUCGCUAGUAAUCGCAGAUCAGCAUGUUGCGGUGAAUACGUUCCCGGGCCUUGUACACACCGCCCGUCACACCAUGGGAGUUGGAAAUGCCCGAAGCCAGUGACCCAACCGUAAGGAGGGAGCUGUCGAAGGUGGAGCCGAUGACUGGGGUGAAGUCGUAACAAGGUAGC
rnacentral:rRNA from 1 species